CACGCUGUAAACGAUGUCGAUUUGGAGGUUGUGGGCAUGACCCGUGGCUUCCGGAGCUAACGCGUUAAAUCGACCGCCUGGGGAGUACGGCCGCAAGGUUAAAACUCAAAUGAAUUGACGGGGGCCCGCACAAGCGGUGGAGCAUGUGGUUUAAUUCGAUGCAACGCGAAGAACCUUACCUACUCUUGACAUCCAGAGAACUUAGCAGAGAUGCUUUGGUGCCUUCGGGAACUCUGAGACAGGUGC
rnacentral:rRNA from 1 species